AAAUGGCUUUUUCAAGUUCUGAUCUUUAGCUUACAGCAAAAGAUCUUUUAAAGUUUUCCAUUGAUAAGUUCUUCUAAAUUGUAUCUGAAAACUACUUAUAAGGCACCGAAUGUGCCACUACCUGACCUGAUUCAUUUGUCUGCUGCUGUUCGAGUAAACAUCAACAUUUAGAUUGUUAGCAGCUCUGCAUCGCAUAUCUAUUUCAACGUCAGCGAUGCAAUACAACUACACAACGAGCAAAACGAUGGUUAAGCUUUGCUUACUAUUGUCAAUAUAUGAAUCUCUGGGAUUAUAUCCGAACCCAGCUUUCCAACCGCGUCAUUUCGAAAGGAAUUACCUCAAUCAAGAUUGGGAGAAAUACAUAAUUAUGUUUGAACCGCUGAAUGUGCUUCGCAAACAGAAACACUUUUCGCAAAUAUCCAAUGAGAGGGACGCAAUCAACAGCCAUUAUCUAUAUGUGAAGUACAACCCAAAACUAAACUCCAUGAAAAAAAGGCCAUCAGCUUUCAACUGGGGUUAGAAGAUCACAAGACAGGAGUAUCGGAUCCUUUUCUCUCAAAAAGUUGAAUCAUUUUAGAAGAGAACAAAGGUUUAAGCAUCCGCAAAAUCAGAUACAGUGGCCGGUUUUUAGCGUGCACACAUGUUCUUAUCGCUACGCUCCGAUCACAUACAGCAAUUUCAUCGACAUCAGCCAUGCAGCGACAAAUUCUACUUGUGAUGAAAGUAAUUAUCUUCAUGUUGCUUUUGAAAAGAGAUAUUGAGUUGAUGUUUUUCUACAUAAUUGCAUGCUUU